rnacentral:rRNA from 1 species
GAUGAACGCUGGCGGCGUGCCUAAUACAUGCAAGUCGAGCGAACAGAUGAGGAGCUUGCUCCUCUGACGUUAGCGGCGGACGGGUGAGUAACACGUGGAUAACCUACCUAUAAGACUGGGAUAACUUCGGGAAACCGGAGCUAAUACCGGAUAAUAUAUUGAACCGCAUGGUUCAAUAGUGAAAGACGGUUUUGCUGUCACUUAUAGAUGGAUCCGCGCCGCAUUAGCUAGUUGGUAAGGUAACGGCUUACCAAGGCAACGAUGCGUAGCCGACCUGAGAGGGUGGUCGGCCACACUGGAACUGAGACACGGCCCAGACUCCUACGGGAGGCAGCAGUAGGGAAUCUUCCGCAAUGGGCGAAAGCCUGACGGAGCAACGCCGCGUGAGUGAUGAAGGUCUUCGGAUCGUAAAACUCUGUUAUUAGGGAAGAACAAAUGUGUAAGUAACUAUGCACGUCUUGACGGUACCUAAUCAGAAAGCCACGGCUAACUACGUG